rnacentral:rRNA from 1 species
CCAUGAGUAAAGUGGCGACCGGGUGAGUAACACGUGACUAACCUACCUUCGAGUGGGGGAUAACCUCGGGAAACCGAGGCUAAUACCGCAUAACAUCGCAAGAUCAAAGCAGCAAUGCGCUGGAAGAGGGGGUCGCGGCUGAUUAGCUAGUUGGCGGGGUAACGGCCCACCAAGGCGAAGAUCGGUAGCCGGCCUGAGAGGGCGCACGGCCACACUGGAACUGAAACACGGUCCAG